rnacentral:lncRNA from 1 species
CGACUGUAGAAUCAAUCCCAGCUGCGGAAGCAUUUCUUUGAUCUUGCACUGCAGCUGUGUCAAUAAUGAAGACAAAUAGAGAGCGUCAAUGCCUCAGUUCAAGACCAGAUGCAAAAAAUAUUAACCAUAAAGGUACAAAGGCCCUUUCCCCACUUCUUAUCUUUUUCUAUUUACACUUUAUUUUGCUUGAUAGUGAGAUAUUCUACCUAAAUUACCGCAUAUCUAAAGUUACUAAAUAAUAAAUGAUAUGAAGGAAAAGUAAGGGAUAUAACACCAGUACUCAAAAGUGAAAUAAACCUUUCACACUAAAAUACCGCUUGAUUAAUAUUUUCAUUAUCAUUCAGUGAAUGUUGGAGUCUAUAUACAUUUUAAACUUUACAGCCAUUGGAAAUGGAACUCCCAUUUCAACAUGUAAUUUGCUUGGCAGGAACUAUAGUUUGCAGCACGAUUGUUUUGAGAAUACAUACCUUGAAUCCCCUCAUUGGUUGUGAUGAGAUCAAGUUCAAGGAGGUCUAGAAGACGUCCAAGAUCAACUCCGCUAGUCCAAUUUUCUGGGGGUUGGCCAACUUUGAGUUUCAACCGAC